GAGGGUAUAGUUCAGUGGUAGAGUGUGCGCCUAGCAAGCACAAGGUCCUGGGUUCAACCCUCAUUACCUCCA
rnacentral:tRNA from 1 species